UACGUAGGGUGCAAGCGUUAAUCGGAAUUACUGGGCGUAAAGCGUGCGCAGGCGGUUGUGCAAGACAGAGGUGAAAUCCCCGGGCUUAACCUGGGAAUGGCCUUUGUGACUGCACGGCUAGAGUGUGUCAGAGGGGGGUAGAAUUCCACGUGUAGCAGUGAAAUGCGUAGAGAUGUGGAGGAAUACCGAUGGCGAAGGCAGCCCCCUGGGAUAACACUGACGCUCAGGCACGAAAGCGUGGGGAGCAAACAGG
rnacentral:rRNA from 1 species